rnacentral:rRNA from 1 species
GACGAACGCUGGCGGCGUGCCUAAUACAUGCAAGUAGAACGCUGAAGGAGGAGCUUGCUUCUCUGGAUGAGUUGCGAACGGGUGAGUAACGCGUAGGUAACCUGCCUGGUAGCGGGGGAUAACUAUUGGAAACGAUAGCUAAUACCGCAUAAGAGUAGAUGUUGCAUGACAUUUGCUUAAAAGGUGCAAUUGCAUCACUACCAGAUGGACCUGCGUUGUAUUAGCUAGUUGGUGAGGUAACGGCUCACCAAGGCGACGAUACAUAGCCGACCUGAGAGGGUGAUCGGCCACACUGGGACUGAGACACGGCCCAGACUCCUACGGGAGGUAGCAGUAGGGAAUCUUCGGCAAUGGACGGAAGUCUGACCGAGCAACGCCGCGUGAGUGAAGAAGGUUUUCGGAUCGUAAAGCUCUGUUGUAAGAGAAGAACGAGUGUGAGAGUGGAAAGUUCACACUGUGACGGUAUCUUACCAGAAAGGGACGGCUAACUACGUG